AACGAACGCUGGCGGCAGGCUUAACACAUGCAAGUCGAACGAUCCUUCGGGAUAGUGGCAGACGGGUGAGUAACGCGUGGGAACCUACCUAGUAGUAUGGAAUAACACAGAGAAAUUUGUGCUAAUACCGUAUACGCCCUUUGGGGGAAAGAUUUAUCGCUAUUAGAUGGGCCCGCGUUAGAUUAGCUAGUUGGUGAGGUAAUGGCUCACCAAGGCGACGAUCUAUAGCUGGUCUGAGAGGAUGAUCAGCCACACUGGGACUGAGACACGGCCCAGACUCCUACGGGAGGCAGCAGUGGGGGAAUAUUGGACAAUGGGGGGGCAACCCUGAUCCAGCCAUGCCGCGUGUGUGAUGAAGGCCCUAGGGUUGUAAAGCACUUUCAACGGUGAAGAUAAUGACGGUAACCGUAGAAGAAGCCCCGGCUAACUUCGU
rnacentral:rRNA from 1 species